rnacentral:tRNA from 1 species
GGCGGUAUGGCCAAGUGGUAAGGCAGAGGAUUGCAAAUUCUUUAUCCCCAGUUCAAAUCUGGGUACCGCCU